rnacentral:rRNA from 1 species
GACGAACGCUGGCGGCGUGCUUAACACAUGCAAGUCGAACGGAAAGGCCCUGCUUUUGUGGGGUGCUCGAGUGGCGAACGGGUGAGUAACACGUGAGUAACCUGCCCUUGACUUUGGGAUAACUUUAGGAAACUGGGGCUAAUACCGGAUAGGAGCUCCUGCUGCAUGGUGGGGGUUGGAAAGUUUCGGCGGUUGGGGAUGGACUCGCGGCUUAUCAGCUUGUUGGGGGGGUAGUGGCUGACCAAGGCUUUGACGGGUAGCCGGCCUGAGAGGGUGACCGGCCACAUUGGGACUGAGAUACGGCCCAGACUCGUACGGGAGGCAGCAGUGGGGAAUAUUGCACAAUGGGCGGAAGGCUGAAGCAGCAACGCCGCGUGCGGGAUGAAGGCCUUCGGGUUGUAAACCGCUUUCGCCUGUGACGAAGCGUGAGUGACGGUAAUGGGUAAAGAAGCGCCGGCUAACUACGUG